rnacentral:lncRNA from 1 species
AAACCUUCCUUGAAGCAUUUCGGUCUGCAUGUUUUUUUUUUUCAUCUAAAGAGUCAGAAAUGUAAUUUAUUGACCGGAAAUAUUUGUGUAUAUUUUUUGGGAAUCCACUGUUCAGCCAGAAGAAUGGCAUUUUGGAGUCAAAUUAGUCCUUUUGUUGUGUCGAGAAAAUGCCGCGGUGAAGGCCCAACACGACGCGUGUGCCACCCGGUCAAGUCUAGGUCUAGCCGCCGCUCCCCUCCCCACCCCCAGGGGAUUUAUCCUCUCUUCCUCUCCAGUCUCCUCCUCCAUCUCCAUGCUCUUCCUGCCUCGGAGUCGGAGACCCUUUACAAUAAUUACUUACUUGGAGCAUCUCUAGCAGACCCUUGACAACCGGGCCUGGAUCUGGAUCCGGAUCCAUCUCUUCUCCCCUCCCCCGCGCCGGAUCGCGCAUCGGCUUGGAGGCCCCUCGGGGCUGCCGCCGGUGCGGGAGGCGUCCGCGGCCGUGCGAGCUGGGAACAGAGCGGCGGGUUUCGAUCGAGGGCUUUCUCGGGCCGGCGCGGGAUCUGAGCCGCCGUCCAUGGAUUUCUCGCAGCUUGGGUUUGGUACUAUCCCCACCUCUCUCUCUCUCCCUCCCUCGGCGUUGACGCGCGCGCACCUAAACCGGAUCAGGCGAGCGCUCGUUGCCUGAUCGCUCAACCAUCGUCCCUGGUCGGCUGACGCCAGGUAUGAGCAGCUCCUGAGCCUGGUCGCUCGAUGCGUGCACGCACGCAUGUAUGCAUAUAUAUACUCCCUCUGUAAAGAAAUAUCAUGGUCAUGUUGCUUGGUGUGGAAUUGUGGCUGAAACAAUCAUGUCUUGGGCAAUCAAGACAGCCGUGGUGGUGGGUACUAAAUAAGAGCGUCUACGACCGGACUUAUUGACCCAUCAUUUGUACCGCCCUCUCAGUUCCCCGUCAGCUACGGUGCCGCCAGCCAUCGACAUUCCAUUGCCUGGGAUCCGGUUGUGGCGUGGGCUGGGAGCCGUACGGUGUUGUUGUCUGAUGUGUGCUGGAGGGUUUGGUCGGUCGAGGCCAGGUAUGAGCAGCUCCUGAGACUGAUGGAUGGAUGAUGUAUGCAUGCAUGAUACUAUGGUCAUGCUGGGACCGGAUUCACUGUUUUGACCCUAUUUGGAGAAGUUCAGCACAAAAUGAACCAUGUUGGAAGCUUAUCUGGGGCGAUGAUGAUGAAACAUGGCUGACAUAAACUUGUCUUCGGGCACCAAAAACACACUCCCCCUUCUUUUGAAACCUUUUCAUUCUCACAGAAUAUUGACGGCUCUGUCUUGGAUGGUCAUUCUGUUGAGUGAUAACCAGAGGAGCUCGACUACAAUUUUGGGGGCUGAUCUGGUGAAAGAAGAUGGUGGAGCUAGGUUGUAUGAUCUAUCAAAGGCGAAUCUGAGCCCUCUCAAAUCUCAAUGCAACUAAUAUUGUGGCCUCUACACUUUUAUUUACUUCUAUCACCUCUUUAUGUUUAAAAGUGAUGAAUUGUCGUGGUUGUGGCAUUUGCUAUCUCAUUAGGAGCAGCUGCUCACAAAUCACCUCUCGUGGUGUUUGGUUUGCUUUCUCAUGAUUUUGUUUUCCAUGGUGGGAACCACUUCGGUGCAUUCGGGCUUUUUCUUUUCGGUUUUACUUUUCCUUGAAUGGUUGUGAUAAUUCUACUGUCCCUUGGAUAGCUUUUGAGAUUAUCUUAUUGGGUUGGGGGUCAGUUUGCUUGUUUGAAUUGCUAUUUGGCUUUUGAUAUUGUCAUCCUUCUAUACGCUUUAUGUACUUAUUAUCAGUUUGCACUUUUGGCACUCCCCACUUCUUUACUGGUUUCAACUUAAGGGUCGAUGGAUUUUGGCAGCUUGGCUGCAUGUUGCUUCGGAUUCGGUACUGUCACCAUCUUCCUCUGCCCCCCCCCCCCCCCCCCCCCCCCCNNNNNNNNNNNNNNNNNNNNNNNNNNNNNNNNNNNNNNNNNNNNNNNNNNNNNNNNNNNNNNNNNNNNNNNNNNNNNNNNNNNNNNNNNNNNNNNNNNNNNNNNNNNNNNNNNNNNNNNNNNNNNNNNCCGAAACCCUGAACCGAAUCAUCAGAGCUCUUGUUGCCGCAUCACCGACCCAUCGUCCGGGUGGGUGCCGCGUCAGUCCCUCAGGCUCUACGGUGCCGCCAAUCCAUUGGCUUGGAUUCAGUUGUGCCAUGGGCUGGGAACCGUACAGUGAUGUCUGAUCGGUCGUCCGUGCGGGAGGUUUGGUCGGUCGAGGCCAGGUAUGAGUAGCUCUUGAGCAGGAUGGAUGCAGAGGGCGAUGAUGAUGAUGACGACGAGUGUGGCUGAAAUAAAGGUGUCUAGACAACCUAUAGCCAGCAGUCGGCUAUACUAUUAACCAUGCUCUAAAUAGAAUCGGUGAACGCAUUAGAGUUGCUCUUAGAGCCCACCCUUACUUCUCUUGCAGCCUGUUCAAUUCAUCGCUGAUGCUGGAUGUUCUGUGGCUCGGACGGUCAUCCUGAUGAGUGAUAACCAGGGCAGUUCUCCUCUACACUGAUGGGUAGAUUUUGCAGCAAGAGAUGUGGUUGGGUUUCAAGAUGAAAUGCAAAACUGAGCCAUCUUCUUUUGCUUAUCCUCUCUCUCUCAAACCCUAAACCAAAUCAGUUGAGUUCUCAUUGCCGACUCGUUGACCAAUCGUCUGUGUGGUUGGUGUGUCAGUUCCACACCGCUACGGCGCCGCCACCGCUAUCCCAUUGGCUUCGAUUCGGGUGCGGCGUGGGCUGGGAACCGUACGGUGUUGUCUGAUGCGUCGUCUGAGCAGGAGGGUUGGUCUGUCGAGGCCAGGUAUGAGCAGCUCCUGAGAUGGUGGACGGAUGGAUGUAUGCAUGCAUGUAUGUAUGUAUAUCAUGGUCAUGUUGCUUGUGGUUCGGUGUCCUUUUUGGAAAAAACUGAGGGGCGAUGAUGAUGCCUGUGGCUGAAAUAAUUAUGUCUUGAGCAAUCAGGACAUCUGUGGUGCGUGGGUACUAAAUAGGGCCUGAACGGGUGCUUGCGUUGGAGAUGCCCUUAAGGGCCCUCCCUUGGCUCUCUUGCAGCCUGUUCAAUUCAUUACCAAUUUUGGAUGUUCUGCGCCGCGGACGGUCAUUCUGUUGAGUGAUAACCAGAUCAGUUCUCUUGCAUCAAGAUGGGUAGAUUAUGCAGCAAGAGAUGCGGAGUGUUGGGCUUCAAGAUGAAACACAAAACUGAGCCCUCUUUUGAUAUGCUACAAAUACUAAAGUAGUGAUCUAAACGCUCUUAUAUUUCUUUACGGAGGGAGUAUUUGUGAACAUAGGGAGUAUCUAUCUAUCAGGGGCGAUGAUGAUCAAACAUGGCUGAUAUAAACCUGUCUUCGAUUAUUCAAGAAGCUGUGGGUAUCAAAAACCAUCUCUCCCCUCUUUUGGGACCUUUUCAUUCUCACCAAAUAUUGAUGGCUCUGUCUUGGAUGGUCAUUCUGUUAAGUAAUAACCAGCAGAGCUUGACUUCAAUGUUGGGGGUUGAUCUGGUGAAAGAAGAUGGGGCUAGUGUGAUCUAUCAAAGGCGAAUCUGAGCCCUCCUACAUCCGAUUCAUAAAAAAGUUGGAACAUCUUAUAUUUGUGAACUGAGGGGAGUAUCUAUCUAUCUAUCUAUCUAUGAGGGGCAAUGAUGAUCAAACAUGGCUGACAUAAACCUGUCUUUGAUUAUUUGAGGAGCUUUGGGUAUAAAAAACCCUCUCUCCCCUCUUUUGGGACCUUUUCAUUCUCAACGAAUAUUGACGGCUCUGUCUUGGAGGGUCAUUCUGUUGAGUGAUAACCAGCAGAGCUUGACUUCAAUGGUGGGGAAUGAUCUGAUGAAAGAAGAUGGUGGGGAUAGUAUGAUCUAUCAAAGGCAAAUCUGAGCCCUCCUACAUCCGGUUCAUAAAAAAGUUAGAACAUCUUAUAUUUGUAAAUAGAGGGAGUAUCUAUCUAUCUAUCUAUCAGGGGCGAUGACGAUCAAACAUGGCUGACAUAAACCUGUUUUUGAUUAUUUAAGGAGCUGUCGGUAUCAAACACCUGCUCUCCUCCCCUCUUUUGGGACCUUUUCACUCUCACCGAAUAUUGACGGCUGUCUUGGAUGGUCAUUCUGUUGAGUGAUAACCAGCAGAGCUUGACUUCAAUGGUGGGGGAUGAUCUGGUGAAAGAAGAUGGUGGGGCUAGUAUGAUCUAUCAAAGGCGAAUCUGAGCCCUCUCAAUGCAACUUAUAUUGUGCGUAAAAAGUUAGUAUGUUUAAUAAAGGUAAUAAAUUGUUGUGGUGUUUGGUUUGCCUUCUCAUGAUUUUGUGGUUCAUGGAGGGAACCAGUUUGGUGCUUUCAGGCUUUGCUCAAGCUCGUCUCGUUGUGGUGGUCCUUGUACCGGUAGUGUUUGAAUGUGUUUACUCCCUUCUUUUCGUGGGGUUAAAUGUGUGAAGCAUGGUCAGCAAAUGUUUGCCCUCUUUUCCUGUCUAUGCAUGUCCUCUUUUUCGUCCCCUUAUUUUUUUACUGGUUCUUAUGGCAGUGAUGUAAAUUCAAGUCGGCAAGUUGUCAACAUUUUUUCUACUGUUUUAGCAUAGCACAGCAACUGCUAAUUGGCCUUUAAGAAUACAAUUUGGCCGGUUUGCUUUUUGCUGAUGACCAUUCUAAUGCUUAUACAAGCCAAUGCGUGGAAAACCACAAAAAUCUUGUGUUGCGAAAAUACCACUUCUAUCUUUUCCUUUUUGAGAAUUUGUCUUUCUUGCCAAGCUUGUAUCCAUGUAUACAUAAAAGAUAUGUUGAGAGUUUGGUUUUGGUUUUAGUUCUUUUGGUAUGCAAAGGACUGUUUUGCAAGUUAACGUUUUGGAUGCCGCCUGUGCGGGAGGCGUCCGCGGCGGCGCGGGCUGGGGAACGAGCGGCGGGGCCCAUGCUGCGCUCCGGUCGAGGGCUUGGUCGGGCCGGCGCGGGAUCUGAGCUGCCGUCGAUGGAUUUCUGGCAGCUUGGCUGCAUGUAGCUUUGGAUUCGGUAACAUCCCCAUCUCUCCGUCUCUGACCCCCCCCCCCCCCCNNNNNNNNNNNNNNNNNNNNNNNNNNNNNNNNNNNNNNNNNNNNNNNNNNNNNNNNNNNNNNNNNNNNNNNNNNNNNNNNNNNNNNNNNNNNNNNNNNNNNNNNNNNNNNNNNNNNNNNNNNNNNNNNNNNNNNNNNNCUGACCCAUUGUCCCGAGAUGGCCCCUGCGUCAGUUCCACACCGCUACGGCGCCGCCAGCCACCGCCGUUCCAUUCCCUUGGGUUCAGUUGUGGCGUGGGCUGGAGCCGUACUCUGUUGUCUGAUGCGUCGUUGGAGCGGGAGGUUUGGUCGGUCGACGCCAGGUAUGAGCAGCUCCUGAGCAGGAUGGAUGGAUGAAUGCAUCCAUGUGUCGUGAACUAAAAUCACGACACUUAUUUGGAACGGAGGGAGUAGUAUGUAUGGAUGUCAUGGUCAUGUUGCUUGGUGUGCAGUGCCCGGCCGGGGGAUUGAACCCCCUUUUCGAAAAAUGAAAAUAAUGAGGGGCAAUGAUGAUCAUGACGAUGACUGAAAUAAUCAUGCCUUGAGCAAUCAAGACAGCCGUGGUGUGGUGGUACUAAACAGAGCUGAAAAAAAAACGGUGUCUGGGUUGGAGUUGCCCUUAGAGCCCACCCUUACCUCUCUUGCAGCAUGUCCAAUUCAUCGCUGAUGUUGGAUGCUUUGUGCCUCGGAUGGUCAUUCUGUUGAGUGAUAACCAUGGUAGUUCUCUUACAUCGUGAUGGGUAGAUUAUGAAGCAAGAGAUGUGAGGGUUGGGCUUGAAGAUGGAAAGACAAAAACCGAGCAUCUUUUGCUAUAUAUCUCUCUCAAAUCCUAAACUAAAUCAGUUGAGCUCUCAUUGCUGACUCGCUGGAUCUGGGCCGCCAUCGAUGCAUUUCUCGCAGCUUGGCUGCAUGUUGCUUUGUAUUCGGUACUAUCCCCAUCUCUCUCUCUCUUUCUUUCUCUCUCUCAGACGCUCACACACACUUGCUCUAGUAAAGCCUAACCCUCAACCGAAUCAGGCGAGCUCUCGUUGCCGGAUCUCUGACCAUCGUCCCGGUGGCCGCUGCACACCACUACGACGCCGCCAGCCACCACUGUUCCAUUGCCUUGGAUUCGGUUGUGGCGUGAGCUGGAACCGUGCUCUGUUGUCUGAUGCGUCGUUCGAGCGGGGGGUUUGGUUGUUCGAUCAACUUAUGAAAAAGGGUCAAAACACGAAAUUUAGCCUUUGGGUUGUGGCCGCGUCACUUCACUGCUGUGGUGCUGCCAGCCUCUGCCGUUCCAUUGCCUUGGAUUUGGCUGUGGCGUGGGCUGGGAACCGUGCGGUGUUGUCUGGUGCGUCGUCAGGUUUGGUCGGUCCAGGCGAGGCAUGUGUAGCUCCUGAGGCUGAUGGGGAUGGAUGGACAUGUGCACGCAUGUACUUCCUCCGUUCCUAAAUAUAAGUCUUUCUAGAGGUCUCAAUAUGAACUACAUACGGACAUGUGCUCGCAUGUACUUCCUUCGUUCGUAAAUAUAAGUCUUUUUAGAGAUCCCAAUAUGGACUACAUACGGAGCAAAAUGAGUGAAUCUACACUAUAAAUCAUGUCUAUAUACACCCGUAUGUAGUACGUAUUGAAAUCUCUAAAAAGACUUAUAUUUAGAAACGGAGGGAGUAUGAUCUAAAUGCUCUUAUAUUUCUGUACAGAGGGAGUAUGUAUGUAUGUAUGUAUGUAUGUAUGUAUGUAUGUAUGUAUGUAUAUCAGGGUCAUGUUGUGCCUGGUGGGCAAAGACCGGUGGUACAACCUCCUUUUCGGUAAAAAAUGAAGGGCGAUGAUGAUGACUGUGGCUGAAAUAAGCAUGUCUUGAGCAAUCAAGAUAGCUGUGGCCUGUGUGUACUAAAUUAGAGCCCACCCUUUCCUCCCUUGCAGCCUGUCCAAUUCAUCGGUAACGUUGGAUGUUCUGCACCUUGGACGGUCAUUCUGAUGAGUGACAACCAGGGCAGUUUUCUUACAUUUUGAUGGGUAGAUUAUGCAGCAAGAGAUGUGAGUGUUGGGUUUGAAGAUGAAAUGCAAAACUGAGCCNNNNNNNNNNUUUGCUUAUGAUCCUUGUAUCCCCUCUCUCUCUCCCUAAAACAAAUCAGUCAAGUUCUCAUUGCCGGCUUGCUGGCCCAUCGUCUCUGUGGCUGCCAUGUCAGUUCCCUGUCUUUACGGUGCUGCCAGCCGCAACCAGUCCAUUGCCUUGGAUUCGUUGUGGUGUGGCUGGGAACCGUAAGGCGUCGUCUGAUGCGUCGUCCACACUGGGAGGUUUGGUCGGUUGAGGCCAGGUAUGAGCAACUCCUGAGACUGUCUAAGUUACUCACCACUAUGGCCAGCCUGAUGGAUGGAUGGAUGGAUGGAUGGAUGGAUGGACGGACGCAUGCAUGCAUGUAUGUAGGGAUAGUAUGGUCAUGUUGCUUGGGGUUUGACCUCCUUUUCAAAAAAAAAAAAGGGGCGAUGAUGAUGCCUGUGGCUGGAAUAAUUAUGUGUUGAGCAAUCAAGACAGCUGUGGCGUGUGGGUACUAAAUAGGCCCCGAAUGGGGCCGGAGUUGGAGAUGCCCUUAAGAGCUCACCCUUACGUUUCUUGCAGCCUGUUCAAUUCAUGGCUAAUGUUGGAUGUUCUGCGCCUCGGAUGGUCAUUCUGAUGAUUGAUAACCAGGGCAGGUCUCUUACAUCGCGAUGUGUAGGUUAUGCAGCAAGAGACGUGAGUAUUGGGCUUGAAGAUGAAAGGCAAAACUGAGCCCUCUUUUGCUACGCUACAAAUACUUAGUUUUUCCUUCUCUACUAUACAUUGUUUUUUAUUUUCUGUUCCUCUCUAUUGUGUUGAUGUGAGAUCUCGAUCUGGAUUGCUAUCUUCUCUUGGUGACGAACCCAACCACCCUGGGUUACUUGGUUUGGUUCCUAGUUGGCGUUGUUUUUGCCUUUAAAGUUGUACAUAUACAUACUAUGUGUCAAACGAUUCUCCUUUUUUCCUCCAAUGCUUGUAGCUAUUGGCAGUUCUAUUCAUGUGGUUAACGAGAAGCUGUUCUCUUGCUUGUCUUGUCCUGCCAGAUGCUUCUUCAAAGACCAAGUUCUGAUCCGUUAUGUCUGUGUUUUUAUAAACUGAAGCUCAAAUUACCUUCGUAUUUGGUUUGGUCAGAGCAGACCUUUUGUUAUGAUUCUCUAUGCUAUUUAGUUCAUUGGUGAUUAGUCUAUUUUCAGCUGCUGCUGUCAAUAUUAACUGUCACAUUUUCGAUGCAUGCGUGUUACAGAUCCCUUGAACGGAUUCGAAAUGAGUGUCAAGUAAAGUUAUCAAAUGCAAAAGUGUAUUUGUUAAAAAGGCUCUUAUAUUUAACUGAAUGUCCUCCUGGAGCUUCCGCUUAGGUCAUUCAUGAUUUAUAUGUUGGGGGCUCGCCCCCUUCUCAUUAUAUAUUUUAAAAUUAAUUUAUUCAGUAUUCUUGCUUUGGUUUUGUUUUCAUUUUGCCAGAGGUUAGACUGACCGGUGUUCAGUUUCAUGGUGGAAUUGCCCACUAUCCAAUGUCACAUGCCUGACUAUUUAGCAUUAGAACCCCAUUUUUCAUGGGAUAAACGGGUGAGCUGCAUUUCCUGCUUUCUGUUUGUAUUAUAUGCAUCCCUUUUUGCAAGCUUAUGCUUUUCUUCUGUUUCAAAACGGAAAGUUUAUGUCAUCCUGUUUUUAUUUGGCUUGUAGUGACUCAACCAAGCCUUUAGUCUCAACACAUGGAUUGCUAGCUUCUACGCACCUCUGUCCAUGGCUAGUUCUUUGGUGAUAUUCCAUGUCCUCCUUUACUAUCCCACCCCUGUCCAUGGCUAGUUCUUUGGUCAUAUUACAUGUCCUCCUGUAUUAUCACUAUUAAAUUUUUACUGGUUCUUUUGGUAGUGAUGUACAUUCAAGUCGGCAAAUUGUGAACUUCUUUUCUACUGUUUUGGUCCAGCACAGCAACUGCUAACUGGCCUCAAGGAAUACAAUUUGCAUGGUUUGCUUUCUGCUGAUGACCAUUUUAAUGUGUAUAGAAGCCAAUACGUUGAAAAACACAAUGUUGUCAUAAGCCUGUAUCUACCUCCUGUUGCAAAAAUACCAUGGCUACCUUUUAUAAAUUGGCCAACUCUGAGCCUCCCGCCUAAUAAAGUUCUGAGUAAAAUUGAGUGUUUCCUUCCCAAAAUUUGAACUGAUCUUUUCCUUUUUGGUAAUUUGUUGUUCUUGCUUGCUUGCAUCCAUGUAUACAUAAAAGAUAUGUUGAGAGUUCGGUUAUGAUAUUAGUUCUUUCGGUAAAAUCAUGGGCUGGUGGAUGCAAAAGUAGUUUUGCAAGUUUAUAUUUUCGCCUUUUUUCCUACACAUUUUGUUGGUUUUGCAGUAUGUCAACCGGUUCUGUUGUUUUAGGAACAGUACUCCAGGCUCACUUAAUUCUUGUCUCUCUCUUUUUUUUUUUUCCUUUUUUGUUCUUCCUUUUUCUUGAAUGGCUAUGAUAAUUCUGCUGUGCCUUGGAUGGUAAUCUUAUUUGGUGCUGGGUCAGUUUGCUUGUUUCAAUUGCUAUUUGACUUGAUAAUUUUGUUCUUCUAUUGUACUCUUUAUUAUCUACUUAUCAGUUUGUAGUUUUGGUUUCUCUUUAGGCCGCGCUUGGGAUGGUUGUAUUUCAAUACGGGGGUAUUUAGUUUACACUUGUAUUUUACUGGCUGCUGAGGCCGUGUUUGAGUUGUCGUUUUCUUUCCAAAUACGUCUGUAAACAAUACAGAUCUCCAUCCGUCGUUUCGCUUCCAGCCGGGAAUCUCUAUUAGCUCGGUAAAUCACACCUGUAAAUUAAAUACAUUUGUAUCUAAAUACACCCAUUCCAAGCGGGGCCUGAACAAUUUCUGGCUGAAAACAAAACGAUGGCCCGAGGUCCGUAUUUUUUACACGUGUAUUUGAAACGGAAACCUGUACUUCUUUACUGGUUUCAACUUAAGGGUCGCAUAUAGCAAGUUCAGCUGUCAAAAUUACUGUCUUCUUUGUGUCACAUUCCUGAAUGGCUGUGAUGAUAUAACCUCCCUAUGAGAGCUAUCUAACACCUGAAUUGAUUUACUUGGUGCUAAACUAGGAUGGCUUGUGUCAAGCAAGUAACCAGUUUAGCGGCUAACUCCCUCAGUUCAUUGGAUUUUUCAGUAUGGACUACGCACGGACUGAAAGGAGUGACUAAACACACUAAAAAUAUACACCCGAUUAAGAAAAAAGUUAGAACAUCUUAUAUUUCUGAAUGGAAGGAGUACUGUUAAACGUUGGAAUUAAGAAUCCACUUAACAGUGUGUAGAGACGGACAAUGGAGAUUACAUGAUCCUUCUACUUAUGGUGGCAAGAUGGCGUUAUAUUUGAGCCAUUUACUUAUACAUGUCCCAGUUUUAUGUGUCCACCAGUUCAUGGUUUGCUCCUGGUAUUGUUUCUUUCUGCAAUCACUGAUUCUCCUAUGAUUUCUUGUCAUCUUGUGCUCUUUGACUAUUGGCUUCUUUGUAAUUCUCUUUGUGGUAUUUGCGCCAAAGUGCUGUUGAUGGCGAUAAUGAGUAAUGUUCAUUCAGAGGUGUAUUUAGAUCAGAUAUCAUCACUUGUUUAUAUGGUAUGUUUUAGGGUUAGGGUUUUGUGUGACUAGGUGGAAGUGUGCAAAUCGGGACGGCUUGCUUUCUCAUUUGAAUGCUGAAAUGUCACACAGGGAUGUAAGGGCAUCUGCAAUGCGGAUCAAUGCGGAUCACCAGGGGUGUAAGGGCAUCUGCAAAGCGGAUCACCAAGUGUAUCGGAUACAGAGUGGGUUCUGCCCAUAUGAGAGCCUCCUUUUUUUUUAAAUAAAUACGACCUCUACUUUUGAAUAUUAUUGGUUUUGAUUCUUCUCAAUCUAUUAAUGAUUUAUAGCAGUAUUGGGAUCUCAUUGUAAUAUACUCCCUUCGUAAAGAAAUAUAAGAGCGUUUAGAUCACUAAGUAAUCUACGACACUUACAAGAUAUGCUCAUUGCAAACUGGAUUUUGUUCUAUUUUACACUUGCAUACUCAGAAUGCGUUGAAUUACUCAUGCAUCAAGAGGUUGUACUUUAUUUGAAUAAAAAGCAAUCCUAUGUGCUGAGGGCCCUGGGAAGCGGCAGAGGGCGUAUUUUGCUUUGCGAGAACUACAGGUGUUCCUGGGUUUGCGCAUGUUCAUAUUCUCGACUAUUUUCUCACCAUAUACAUGUUCAGUGUUGCUGUACGUACACAUAGAUAAUGCCCGUUGCUAUACAUACACAUCUAUAAUGCCAACAUACGCAUAUAUAAUGCCCAGUACAUAACUAUCUGUACGUGAGAUUUUCAUUAUUCAUUACUUGGAGGCAUGGUGUUGAUAAUCUAAAUAUUGAGCUUCCUCAUACAGUAUGUCUCAUCAUACAGUUUCAUCUGGGUUCUGAAGUUGCGCCUCAUACGUACCGGGCAGUUGGAAUACACAGCACCGCCUGCAAAGGUUCCAACUCCUCUUGUGAAGCUAACCAUUUGGCCCUUCCGAAAAGAAAUCUGACUCUGUCCGAAAUCCUGACCAUGUGGUAUAUGGAGAUGAUUUCUGACACCCGAAGAAGAAUUGAAUAUCCUAAUCCAAGAGAAAAAUUGCCUCUGUUCUCAACAAGUGCAGGUGCCAAAGGAUCAUAUUUCAAUCGCUCCACGCAUCCUAAGUUCUUUCAGAAUAGUCCAUACGAUAGCCCUUGCACCUCGCCCUCUCCUUAGUUCUGAACUCAAGAACAAGCAAUAUGUUACUCUCGAGUACUAUAUGAAAGCCGAAAGAUAUUAUCUCAUGAAUUUCCAAAUAUCACCGCUACGCGAGAGAUUGGCU